rnacentral:rRNA from 1 species
ACUCGAGUGGCGAACGGGUGAGUAACACGUGGGUGAUCUGCCUUGCACUUCGGGAUAAGCUUGGGAAACUGGGUCUAAUACCGGAUAGGACAGCUGUUUAGUGUCAGUUGUGGAAAGUUUUUUCGGUGCAAGAUGAGCUCGCGGCCUAUCAGCUUGUUGGUGGGGUAAUGGCCUACCAAGGCGUCGACGGGUAGCCGGCCUGAGAGGGUGGACGGCCACAUUGGGACUGAGAUACGGCCCAG